UACAGAGGGUGCAAGCGUUGUUCGGAAUUAUUGGGCGUAAAGGGAGUGUAGGCGGUUUCCUAAGUCUUCUGUGAAAUCUACGGGCUUAGCCUGUAACGUGCAGAGGAACUGGGAGACUGAGUGUCGGAGAGGAUAGGGGAAUACCCAGUGGUAGAGGUGAAAAUUCGUAGAGAUUGGGUGGAACACCAGUGGCGAAGGCGCCUGAUCGUGGCCUGGACAACUGACGCUGAGACUCGAAAGCAUGGGGAGCAAACAGGA
rnacentral:rRNA from 1 species